rnacentral:rRNA from 1 species
UACGUAGGGGGCGAGCGUUGUCCGGAUUUAUUGGGCGUAAAGAGCGUGUAGGCGGCCGAGCAGGUCCGUUGUGAAAACUGACGGCUCAACGUUCAGAGGUCGAUGGAAACCGUUCGGCUAGAGUCCGGAAGAGGAAGGUGGAAUUCCUGGUGUAGCGGUGAAAUGCGCAGAUAUCAGGAAGAAAACCCGUGGCGAAAGCGGCCUGCUGGGACGGUACUGACGCUGAGACGCGAAAGCGUGGGGAGCGAACAGG